rnacentral:rRNA from 1 species
GACGAACGCUGGCGGCGUGCUUAACACAUGCAAGUCGAACGGAAAGGCCCUGCUUUUGUGGGGUGCUCGAGUGGCGAACGGGUGAGUAACACGUGAGUAACCUGCCCUUGACUUUGGGAUAACUUCAGGAAACUGGGGCUAAUACCGGAUAGGAGCUCCUGCUGCAUGGUGGGGGUUGGAAAGUUUCGGCGGUUGGGGAUGGACUCGCGGCUUAUCAGCUUGUUGGUGGGGUAGUGGCUUACCAAGGCUUUGACGGGUAGCCGGCCUGAGAGGGUGACCGGCCACAUUGGGACUGAGAUACGGCCCAGACUCCUACGGGAGGCAGCAGUGGGGAAUAUUGCACAAUGGGCGGAAGCCUGAUGCAGCAACGCCGCGCGCGGGAUGACGGCCUUCGGGUUGUAAACCGCCUUCGCCUGUGACGAAGCGUGAGUGACGGUAAUGGGUAAAGAAGCACCGGCUAACUACGUG